UCCUGAUGGUUGGAAUAAUGCUCCAGAUAUACAUUCAUUACGCUCUCUGGAUCGGUCAUUUGUCUUUCCUGGCGAGCAAGUUCACAUCCUGGCAUGUUUGUCAGCAUACAAGCAGGAUACAGAAAUUAUAACUCCAUUUAAAGUUGCUGCAGUAAUGUCUAAAAAUGGCACUGGACAAAACCCUGAAAAUCAAAAUGAGAAUAUGAAAGAAGGAACAGUUUUGGUGUAUGGAGAAGCGGAAGUGAGUACUGAUGACCAAGCAAUAGACCAAAAUGGGAAUGGGCCAUCAGAAAAGGGGAUUGAUCCAAAAAAGGGUAUCUCCGCCAGUGAAUCCAUUCUCAGAAUG
rnacentral:misc_RNA from 1 species